rnacentral:rRNA from 1 species
AUGGGGAAAGGCCGGGCACCGUGCUGCGCCAAGGUGGGGCUCAACAGGGGCUCCUGGACGCCGGAGGAGGACAUGCGCCUCAUCGCCUACAUUCAGCAGUACGGCCACGCCAACUGGCGUGCCCUGCCCAAGCAAGCAGGUUUGCUCCGGUGCGGCAAGAGCUGCCGGCUCCGGUGGAUCAACUACCUCCGUCCCGACCUCAAGCGCGGCAACUUCACCGUCGAGGAGGAGGAGACCCUCAUCAAGCUGCACAACAUGCUCGGCAACAAAUGGUCCAAGAUCGCGGCGUGCCUGCCGGGGAGGACCGACAACGAGAUCAAGAACGUCUGGAACACGCACCUCAAAAAGCGGGUGGCCGCGAGCGCCGGGGAGCAGAAGAAGGGCGGGGCCAAGAGCAAGAAGAAAACCACCUGCGUGGACGUGCCGGUGCCUUCUCCGUCUCCAUCCUCUUCCACCACCACCACUACGACGACAACCAACUGCUCCAGCGGCGAGUCUGGCGAGCAGAGCAACACCAUCAAGGAGUUGGAAUUUGAGAUGGACAAGAUCGAAAUCCCCAUGCUGGACCUCGGCUUCGACCUUGACAUGCUGCUGAACGCCGUCCCCGACACGCACUUCCCGGCCAUCUCGUCGGCGUCGACCUCGCCGUGCUCGUCCGCGUCCCCGCCCUGCGUGGUGGACGACCAAGUGCUGCUCGAUCUGCCUGAGAUCGACAUCAUGCCCGAGCUGUGGAGCAUCAUGGACGGCGAAGGCGGCGUCGGCGCGUGCGCAGAAACGGCGCAGGCGCCGUGGAGCAAUGCGGCGCUGUGCCAGGGCAACGGAACAGAGGCGAGCGCCGCAACGGCCAACGAAGACGACGACGGAAAGGAGUGGUGGUUGGAAGAUUUGGAAAAGGACCUGGGCCUGUGGGGGCCCAUCGAAGACUACCAGCUCCAACAACCGGACCCACAAGGUCGCGUGGACCCGUUCUCAGCCAGCGUGGACGACUCCGCGUCAUGCUACUUCCCCGCACACACUGUCCGGCAUUUUUUCUCAAGAGUACGCCAAGGGGGUACCAUACUUUUAUAG